rnacentral:lncRNA from 1 species
CACACACCUUUGGCUUGGAGUCAGGCAGCCAGAGUCCCAGAAGACAGUCUUUUCAGUAGAAAGCAGCAAGCUUUUAAAUUUUCACUGCACAUUGUUUUAUUAAAACUUCUGCAGCUGGUUAAAUGACUUUUCAGAGGAAACUUGUCCCAUUGCCGUGAACCAAAGGGGAGGGAUGAAGGUAAUUACGUUCUCCCCGUUCGACAGCAAAUGGUUCCCUGUACCUAUUUCAGGGGCCAGCUACCCAUGAGCAAACCUCCUGAGCUCUGACUGCUCUUCCCUUUUUACAGCAUCCUGAGCUACCUCAGGGCAGCUCUGAGGCAGCCUUGGGUAUGUGCCAUACACCCACCACGAAGAAGCCAGCCAGCCAAAUGGACCAAAGGUGCCACAGGCUCUCUUCUUUUGACGAAGCCAACAUGUUUUGCAAACACUGAAUUGGUCAAGAUAGAUGCUUUCAUGAACACUAAAAUUCAUCCAUAUAAAGUGCUGGGAGUGGAUGAGUAAAAGAUGGCCACUCUGAAAUGUGUGCGGAGGAGACCAGUACAUGAAAUCAGGGCCAGAGGAGAGGAAGUGCCGUCGGCCCGAGGGAGCAGGUCCCCGCUGAUCCCCGACGAGGGUGCUGUACUCCAGGAUAAGCGACCUGUGCCAUUCCUCACAAUGGCACCUGAGAUGCAGCCCUGACUCAGGACAAACUCCAGAGAGCAGAACCUCCCCUCCUGUUUCUUCUCGGUCAGCUCCUGAUGCACCAGCCUCUCUCCACUGACAGUGGAGGGACUGAGGGUCUUGAGUCAGUGCUCUGCACGAUUCUGCUAGGACAGUGUAACUACUGCCUUGGUACUGCACCCAAAGUACAGCUCUGAUGAAACCCUUCAACUUCACCCCAAAUUUCUAGACCACUUUGCAUUUGAUUUUCAAUCCAUGCUUUAGCCUGUUUCUGCCUCUUAUGUUUUUGAUUUUCCUAAAAGUCAUAUUUGCUCUCUUUGCAAGGCCAUUGCCAAAGAGCUAUUUGAUGCUGCUAAUACAGGGGGGCAAAAACAUUCCUCCCCCCCCCCAAAAAAAGAGAUUCCCACAUUCUUAAGGGCAGAAUAUCUCAUCUCUAAAACCUUAUCUGCCCAUGAACUGAAUAGCCUUGAAGAGUGUUAACCAUCUUAAUGUGGAAAUGCUUAUUUCUGGAAAGAAGAACUUGUCUUCAGAGGCACCUUCAUGCUAAUAUGAUGGAAACCAUAAGGGUGUGUGUGGUAUAAAUGAACCAGUAAGAAUAAAGCCUUACCUCGCUACA